GACGAACGCUGGCGGCGUGCUUAGCACAUGCAAGUCGAACGGAAAGGCCCUGCUUUUGUGGGGUGCUCGAGUGGCGAACGGGUGAGUAACACGUGAGUAACCUGCCCUUGACUUUGGGAUAACUUCAGGAAACUGGGGCUAAUACCGGAUAGGAGCUCCUGCUGCAUGGUGGGGGUUGGAAAGUUUCGGCGGUUGGGGAUGGACUCGCGGCUUAUCAGCUUGUUGGUGGGGUAGUGGCUUACCAAGGCUUUGACGGGUAGCCGGCCUGAGAGGGUGACCGGCACAUUUGGGGCGAAGAACCGCCCCAACCGCCUGGGGGGGGGAGGAGUGGGGAAUAUUGAACAGGGGGGGGCGGCCUGUGGCGGCACCGCCGCGUGGGGGAGGGGGCCUGCCGGUUGUUAACCCGUUUGCGCUUGUGCGGAAGGGAGGGGGGGGGAGAGGGAUAAAGAAGCCCCGGAAAAGUCCGUC
rnacentral:rRNA from 1 species